UGGGGAAUCUUCCGCAAUGGACGAAAGUCUGACGGAGCAACGCCGCGUGAGUGAUGACGGCCUUCGGGUUGUAAAGCUCUGUUAAUCGGGACGAAUGGUUCUUGUGCGAAUAGUGCAAGGAUUUGACGGUACCGGAAUAGAAAGCCACGGCUAACUACGUGCCAGCAGCCGCGGUAAUACGUAGGUGGCAAGCGUUGUCCGGAAUUAUUGGGCGUAAAGCGCGCGCAGGCGGAUUGGUCAGUCUGUCUUAAAAGUUCGGGGCUUAACCCCGUGAUGGGAUGGAACCUGCCAAUCUAGAGUAUCGGAGAGGAAAGUGGAAUUCCUAGUGUAGCGGUGAAAUGCGUAGAUAUUAGGAAGAACACCAGUGGCGAAGGCGACUUUCUGGACGAAAACUGACGCUGAGGCGCGAAAGCCAGGGGAGCGAACGGG
rnacentral:rRNA from 1 species